rnacentral:rRNA from 1 species
GACGUGCUUGCACUGAAUGAGAUUUUAACACGAAGUGAGUGGCGGACGGGUGAGUAACACGUGGGUAACCUGCCCAGAAGCAGGGGAUAACACCUGGAAACAGAUGCUAAUACCGUAUAACAGAGAAAACCGCCUGGUUUUCUUUUAAAAGAUGGCUCUGCUAUCACUUCUGGAUGGACCCGCGGCGCAUUAGCUAGUUGGUGAGGUAACGGCUCACCAAGGCGAUGAUGCGUAGCCGACCUGAGAGGGUAAUCGGCCACAUUGGGACUGAGACACGGCCCAGACUCCUACGGGAGGCAGCAGUAGGGAAUCUUCCACAAUGGACGCAAGUCUGAUGGAGCAACGCCGCGUGAGUGAAGAAGGGUUUCGGCUCGUAAAGCUCUGUUGUUAAAGAAGAACGUGGGUGAGAGUAACUGUUCACCCAGUGACGGUAUUUAACCAGAAAGCCACGGCUAACUACGUGCCAGCAGCCGCGGUAAUACGUAGGUGGCAAGCGUUAUCCGGAUUUAUUGGGCGUAAAGCGAGCGCAGGCGGUCUUUUAAGUCUAAUGUGAAAGCCUUCGGCUCAACCGAAGAAGUGCAUUGGAAACUGGGAGACUUGAGUGCAGAAGAGGACAGUGGAACUCCAUGUGUAGCGGUGAAAUGCGUAGAUAUAUGGAAGAACACCAGUGGCGAAGGCGGCUGUCUGGUCUGUAACUGACGCUGAGGCUCGAAAGCAUGGGUAGCGAACAGGAUUAGAUACCCUGGUAGUCCAUGCCGUAAACGAUGAUUACUAAGUGUUGGAGGGUUUCCGCCCUUCAGUGCUGCAGCUAACGCAUUAAGUAAUCCGCCUGGGGAGUACGACCGCAAGGUUGAAACUCAAAAGAAUUGACGGGGGCCCGCACAAGCGGUGGAGCAUGUGGUUUAAUUCGAAGCUACGCGAAGAACCUUACCAGGUCUUGACAUCUUCUGCCAACCUAAGAGAUUAGGCGUUCCCUUCGGGGACAGAAUGACAGGUGGUGCAUGGUUGUCGUCAGCUCGUGUCGUGAGAUGUUGGGUUAAGUCCCGCAACGAGCGCAACCCUUAUUACUAGUUGCCAGCAUUCAGUUGGGCACUCUAGUGAGACUGCCGGUGACAAACCGGAGGAAGGUGGGGACGACGUCAAAUCAUCAUGCCCCUUAUGACCUGGGCUACACACGUGCUACAAUGGAUGGUACAACGAGUCGCGAAACCGCGAGGUUUAGCUAAUCUCUUAAAACCAUUCUCAGUUCGGACUGUAGGCUGCAACUCGCCUACACGAAGUCGGAAUCGCUAGUAAUCGCGGAUCAGCAUGCCGCGGUGAAUACGUUCCCGGGCCUUGUACACACCGCCCGUCACACCAUGAGAGUUUGUAACACCCAAA